rnacentral:rRNA from 1 species
UGGGGAAUUUUGGACAAUGGGGGAAACCCUGAUCCAGCCAUCCCGCGUGUGCGAUGAAGGCCUUCGGGUUGUAAAGCACUUUUGGCAGGAAAGAAACGUCGCGGGUUAAUACCCCGCGAAACUGACGGUACCUGCAGAAUAAGCACCGGCUAACUACGUGCCAGCAGCCGCGGUAAUACGUAGGGUGCAAGCGUUAAUCGGAAUUACUGGGCGUAAAGCGUGCGCAGGCGGUUCGGAAAGAAAGAUGUGAAAUCCCAGAGCUUAACUUUGGAACUGCAUUUUUAACUACCGGGCUAGAGUGUGUCAGAGGGAGGUGGAAUUCCGCGUGUAGCAGUGAAAUGCGUAGAUAUGCGGAGGAACACCGAUGGCGAAGGCAGCCUCCUGGGAUAACACUGACGCUCAUGCACGAAAGCGUGGGGAGCAAACAGGAUUAGAUACCCUGGUAGUCCACGCCCUAAACGAUGUCAACUAGCUGUUGGGGCCUUCGGCCUUGGUAGCGCAGCUAA